rnacentral:sRNA from 1 species
UGACCUAACACGGGAUAACGAAACCUGCACUGCUCCCAGCGCUUCCUCCCCGGCCCGUCGCGUCUGCGAGGUGAGGCCGGGAGGCGAGGGCUCUGCGCACGCGCAGCGCAGGCGCACUGGGAGCCGGUGCUGUUGCCUUCGGGUGACCACGGAUUCGCCAUCGGUUUUUACCUUAAAUAACUAAUUACUGGCCAUAUUUGGGAAGUGUUGAAAAAAAGCAGACAAUCUGAGGAUGAUGUGGACUUGGGGAUCCAAAGGCACAGGUGACAACAUCAAAACUACCUGCAAGUCUCACUUCAUGGAACACAACAGAAACUCUGCAU